UGCAAGUCGUGGGGCAGCAGGACUGUAGCAAUACAGUUGCUGGCGACCGGCAAACGGGUGCGGAACACGUACACAACCUUCCUUUAAGUGGGGAAUAGCCCGGGGAAACCCGGAUUAAUACCCCGUAAUAUAAUGAAGUGGCAUCACUUUAUUAUUAUAGCUCCGGCGCUUGAAGAUGGGUGUGCGACUGAUUAGGCAGUUGGCGGGGUAACGGCCCACCAAACCUACGAUCAGUAACUGGUGUGAGAGCACGACCAGUCACACGGGCACUGAGACACGGGCCCGACUCCUACGGGAGGCAGCAGUAAGGAAUAUUGGUCAAUGGACGCAAGUCUGAACCAGCCAUGCCGCGUGGAGGAUGAAGGUCCUCUGGAUUGUAAACUUCUUUUAUCUGGGAAGAAACCCACGAAUUCUUUUGUGGUUGACGGUACCAGAUGAAUAAGCACCGGCUAACUCCGUGCCAGCAGCCGCGGUAAUACGGAGGGUGCAAGCGUUAUCCGGAUUCACUGGGUUUAAAGGGUGCGUAGGUGGGUUGGUAAGUCAGUGGUGAAAUCUCCAGGCUUAACUUGGAAACUGCCAUUGAUACUAUCAAUCUUGAAUACCGUGGAGGUCAGCGGAAUAUGUCAUGUAGCGGUGAAAUGCUUAGAUAUGACAUAGAACACCAAUUGCGAAGGCAGCUGGCUACACGAAUAUUGACACUGAUGCACGAAAGCGUGGGGAUCAAACAGGAUUAGAUACCCUGGUAGUCCACGCCCUAAACGAUGGAUACUCGACAUACGCGAUAUACUGUGUGUGUCUGAGCGAAAGCAUUAAGUAU
rnacentral:rRNA from 1 species